rnacentral:lncRNA from 1 species
UUAAUUUGUAAAAAGAAGAAAUUGAAUUUCAUUAAAUCGUGGAUGUGUUAGCAAGCUGUGGCAUUACAUUUAGUAGCGCAAAUUUAACAGAAUAUCAAGCAAUUGAUAAGAUUUAUCCAUAUGUUACCAAUGGAGUGGAUAGAUAUAUAUACAAGUAAGAUGUUCAAUAUAAUGUCUCGACUGAUUAAUAAAACGAAAUUGAUAAAAAUUUCAUAGCAAACCAAAAUUGGCUUAUUGGUGACUGUAUGUGCAUCUGUUCAUACUUAGAAACGAACAUCAAGUAAUCUGAUUAAUAAUACUAGUACAUCUCAAUUUAACAAUCCAAUUAGGAACUAUCUAUGCCCAAAAUAUUGACAAUUAAUCAGAGAGAAUGCCAUACAGUCCGACUCCUCACACUAUAUUGGUAAUUCUCGGUAGCUGAAUUUUUUAGAGUUCUGUUGGCUACUCUUGAAUCUAGCUCUUCCGAUGAAACUAUUCAUUUUCAUGGUGGCUGUUGUCUAGCUUUUUGAACUACAACUGUAUUGUAUGAUUUUAGCAAGUUAGAUAAGUAAAUGUCUUAGUAUUUUCACCCUUAUUGUGUAUAAGCUGACAUGGCAAACAUUUGAGUCAUAACAUUACAACCUGGGUUAUGGAGGUUAGUGAUCAUUAGAAGCAUACGAUUUCUCCUGUGCUGCAAUCUGAAUCCUAAACAUUACAACCGGGUUAUGGAGGUCAGUAAUCAUUAGAAGCAUACGAUUUCUCCUGUGCUGCAAUCUGGUAUCAUCCUAG